rnacentral:rRNA from 1 species
UGGGGAAUUUUGGACAAUGGGGGCAACCCUGAUCCAGCCAUGCCGCGUGCGGGAAGAAGGCCUUCGGGUUGUAAACCGCUUUUGGUCGGGAAGAAAAGGCUCGGGUUAAUACCUUGGGUUUUUGACGGUACCGGCAGAAUAAGCACCGGCUAACUACGUGCCAGCAGCCGCGGUAAUACGUAGGGUGCGAGCGUUAAUCGGAAUUACUGGGCGUAAAGCGUGCGCAGGCGGUUUGUUAAGUCAGAUGUGAAAGCCCCGGGCUUAACCUGGGAACGGCAUUUGAAACUGGCAGGCUGGAGUGCGGCAGAGGGGGGUGGAAUUCCACGUGUAGCAGUGAAAUGCGUAGAGAUGUGGAGGAACACCGAUGGCGAAGGCAGCCCCCUGGGCCGACACUGACGCUCAGGCACGAAAGCGUGGGGAGCAAACAG